rnacentral:rRNA from 1 species
AUUGAACGCUGGCGGCAUGCCUUACACAUGCAAGUCGAACGGUAACAGGCCGCAAGGUGCUGACGAGUGGCGAACGGGUGAGUAAUGUAUCGGAACGUGCCCAGUCGUGGGGGAUAACUGCUCGAAAGAGCAGCUAAUACCGCAUACGACCUGAGGGUGAAAGCGGGGGAUCGCAAGACCUCGCGCGAUUGGAGCGGCCGAUAUCAGAUUAGGUAGUUGGUGGGGUAAAGGCCCACCAAGCCAACGAUCUGUAGCUGGUCUGAGAGGACGACCAGCCACACUGGGACUGAGACACGGCCCAGACUCCUACGGGAGGCAGCAGUGGGGAAUUUUGGACAAUGGACGCAAGUCUGAUCCAGCCAUGCCGCGUGCGGGAAGAAGGCCUCGG